rnacentral:rRNA from 1 species
UACAGAGGGUGCGAGCGUUAAUCGGAAUUACUGGGCGUAAAGCGCACGUAGGUGGCGACGUAAGUCGGGCGUGAAAGCCCCGGGCUCAACCUGGGAAUUGCAUUCGAGACUGCAUUGCUGGAGUACGGAAGAGGAGGGCGGAAUUCCCGGUGUAGCGGUGAAAUGCGUAGAUAUCGGGAGGAACAUCAGUGGCGAAGGCGGCAUCCUGGCCAUGUCCUGACGCUCAGGGGCGAAAGCGUGGGGAGCAAACCGG